UACGGGGGGAGCGAACGUUGUUCGGAAUUAUUGGGCGUAAAGCGCACGUAGGCGGCAUAGCAAGUCGGAUGUGAAAUCCCUCGGCUCAACCAAGGAAGUGCAUCCGAAACUGCUGUGCUUGAGUACGAAAGAGGAUCGCGGAAUUCCCGGUGUAGAGGUGAAAUUCGUAGAUAUCGGGAGGAACACCAGCGGCGAAGGCGGCGAUCUGGGUCGAUACUGACGCUGAGGUGCGAAAGCGUGGGGAGCGAACAGG
rnacentral:rRNA from 1 species